rnacentral:rRNA from 1 species
GGGCCCGCACAAGCGGUGGAGCAUGUGGUUUAAUUCGAUGCAACGCGAAAAAACCUUACCUACACUUGACAUACUUCGAAUUUUCUAGAGAUAGAUUAGUGCCUUAGGGAACGAAGAUACAGGUGCUGCAUGGCUGUCGUCAGCUCGUGUCGUGAGAUGUUGGGUUAAGUCCUAUAACGAGCGCAACCCUCACCCUUAUUUGCCAGCGGUUAGGCCGGGAACUAUAAGGGAACUGCCGGUAAUAAGCCGGAGGAAGGUGGGGACGACGUCAAGUCAUCAUGGCCCUUACGUGUAGGGCUACACACGUGCUACAAUGGGAGAUACAAACGGUUGCAAGCGCGAGCUG